UCUGCAGAGAUGCGGAAGUGCCUUCGGGAACUGUGAGACAGGUGCUGCAUGGCUGUCGUCAGCUCGUGUUGUGAAAUGUUGGGUUAAGUCCCGCAACGAGCGCAACCCUUAUCCUUUGUUGCCAGCGGUCCGGCCGGGAACUCAAAGGAGACUGCCAGUGAUAAACUGGAGGAAGGUGGGGAUGACGUCAAGUCAUCAUGGCCCUUACGACCAGGGCUACACACGUGCUACAAUGGCGCAUACAAAGAGAAGCGACCUCGC
rnacentral:rRNA from 2 species